UUUAGGAAAUAAAACUUUCAAGAAAAUAUAAUUACACGGAAUUAGUAUUAAUGCUCUACUCAAGCUAUACAUUGUAUUAUUUAUCUUUUAAAUAGUAAUGAACAAAGUUUUAAUGAACAAAAUCAUCGGGUUACUGCAUACACGUGUUUUGGAGUUACAGAAACUCUUUUUCAAUGUAAAGUGGUGAGCUUUUGUAUGUAAAGACCCAAAACACGGGUAUGCAGUUGUCUGCUAUUUUUGUGCAUUAAAACGUUGUUCAUUACUAUUUACUUCCCUGCACAAAGGUAUUUAUUUCUUAUUUAUCUUUUAGUUUAAAGCAACUUUUUUUUGCAGCCUUUAAGAACAAAAUAAGAUGCCUUCUUUGCACUAAGAUUUUCAAGUAGGAGAGUGGAAUUGCAAGUCCUUUCUCAUCACAGAGCAAAAUGAGAAAAUAUCUACUGAAAAGAGGGAAGGACUCCUCUGGAAUUGAGACCGAGAUGAAGAGAAGGAACAAAUAUUUAUCCGAUAAAAUUCAGAAUCUGCGUUACAAUAAAGUUUAAUUGAAUAAAUUUGAUUUUAAGUGUU